rnacentral:rRNA from 1 species
CCUACGGGGGGCAGCAGUGGGGAAUAUUGGACAAUGGGGGCAACCCUGAUCCAGCCAUGCCGCGUGUGUGAAGAAGGCCCUCGGGUUGUAAAGCACUUUCAGUGAGGAAGAACGCCUGGUGGUUAAUACCCAUCAGGAAAGACAUCACUCACAGAAGAAGCACCGGCUAACUCCGUGCCAGCAGCCGCGGUAAUACGGAGGGUGCGAGCGUUAAUCGGAAUUACUGGGCGUAACGCGCGCGUAGGUGGCUUGAUAAGCCGGUUGUGAAAGCCCCGGGCUCAACCUGGGAACGGCAUCCGGAACUGUCCAGCUAGAGUGCAGGAGAGGAAGGUAGAAUUCCCGGUGUAGCGGUGAAAUGCGUAGAGAUCGGGAGGAAUACCAGUGGCGAAGGCGGCCUUCUGGACUGACACUGACACUGAGGUGCGAAAGCGUGGGUAGCAAACAGGAUUAGAUACCCCUGUAGUC